rnacentral:lncRNA from 1 species
UUUAAUGAGCAUUGUAAUAAUAUUUUUUUUUUGUUAUCCUUUAGAUUUCCAUUGGUGAAAAAUGAGUUCGUGUGCUUUCUCAUGUGAAAUUUGUGCUAUCGGAGGAAUUAAUGUACCUAGACCUUCGUAUAUUUAAUUGAAUGUUCGAAGGAUGAACACGUGAGCUGAAACAAAAUUAACGGCGGACAAGGGUGAACUAGCCAAAAAUUAUUUCAACCUGCAUCAAAAAAGUAACCUCUUCUAUUAUCUGACCAUGUCCAUUUAUCAAUAUUUCAGAUGACGUUAAAAUAUCCAUCUCAGCUCUUAUACUAUUACACUCAAACCUUCAUCCAACACUCCAAAAUAUCGAUCCGAAAAUUUCCAGAAAUGUCGCUAAUAUUUGGGGAAAACAGUUAAUGCAUAUAGGAAGCAUAUGAGUUGAAAGAAAUUGUACCUACAAAUUAAUCCUUGUAAAUAUUUCCAUUGGUGAAAAAUGAGUUCGCGUGCUUUCUCAUGUGAAAUUUGUGCUAUCGGAGGAAUUAAUGUACCUAGACCUUCGUAUAUUUAAUUGAAUGUUCGAAGGAUGAACACGUGAGCUGAAACAAAAUUAACGGCGGACAAGGAUGACGUUAAAAUAUCCAUCUCAGCUCUUAUACUAUUACACUCAAACCUUCAUCCAACACUCCAAAAUAUCGAUCCGAAAAUUUCCAGAAAUGUCGCUAAUAUUUGGGGAAAACAGUUAAUGCAUAUAGGAAGCAUAUGAGUUGAAAGAAAUUGUACCUACAAAUUAAUCCUUGUAAAUGUUUUCAUGGGCGAAGGAUGAGUUCCUGUGCUUUUUUGGGUGACGUUUACGCUAUUGAGGUAGUAACCUGUAUAAAAUCUUUGAAACGUUGAAAUCUCGUGUCCAGAUUCUAUACUACUAUACUUAAACCCUCAUCUAACACUCCAGAACAUCGAUUCGAAAAUUUUUAGAAAAGUCGCGAAUCCUUGUGGGAUGCAGUUAAUGCCCUGAAAUAUUCAAACAUUGUUUAAUGGGCCAAUAUUGCUUACGUAUCAGAGAACCUACCGUGCGUAUACCUAGAAGGUUUCCACGGCAGAUAAACGAGUUCCUGCAGGUUUUGGCUAGAAGUGUCGGAGCGUAUGACACUGGAUCGUCAUUACAUUCGCCGUGAAGACCGCCUAACGUGCAAUACUAACCACUAGGAGCAACACUUACUAAAUGCGCACCGUAAUAACACCGUCGAUCGGAUCCUACGAGCUCAUAAUAAUACAAACACCGUUUUUCUUGUCCGCACGAUACAAAAAGCAGCGGUUCUGUCUAUGCAUUUAGUAGUAUCCGGGAAAAACACCGAAUCGAUUGCAAGUUCGUCUGGUCUGGUCGAAAUUUUUCCGCGGUUUCCUUCGAUUACACUGCACAGCAUAGAGUUUCGUUAUCAUAGAGGUAGCCAGUAACAUGUGAAUGCUUGUUUCAUUACAAGGGACUUCUACGCAGCGUUCUUUCUCAAUCCUGAUAUCCUAGUAGAGCAUGGAUUAAAUGGGGGUGGCGCUCUCUAUUUCUAUAUGUUCCUGACAUCAACGACGCAGUAGCGUUCCAAACGUUCGCUAAAGAAACGACGACUCCUGCGUCACACUGGAGCAACUGGAGCUAUUUGACACACACAAUUACUAGCCGUCGCCUACUUCGACGAAUCCGAUUAUUAUUGUUAUUAGUUUGUU